rnacentral:rRNA from 1 species
UACGUAGGGUGCGAGCGUUACUCGGAAUUACUGGGCGUAAAGCGUGCGCAGGCGGUUUGUUAAGUCAGAUGUGAAAUCCCCGGGCUCAACCUGGGAAUGGCAGUGGAUACUGGGAGGCUAGAGUGUGUCAGAGGAUGGUGGAAUUCCCGGUGUAGCGGUGAAAUGCGUAGAGAUCGGGAGGAACAUCAGUGGCGAAGGCGGCCAUCUGGGACAACACUGACGCUGAGGCACGAAAGCGUGGGGAGCAAACAGG